UGCAAUCAAUGAAGUGACCUGUUGUUACUGAUUUAUGCGUGAUUAUUACAAAACUUAUCACCAUCUUUCGGCUGAGAUUGCA
rnacentral:snoRNA from 1 species